CUCUGUCAUACCUCCGGUCACGUGAGGCGAACGGAAUCGGCGUUUGUCACGUGGCCCUAUCUGGGCUCGUUUUAAGUGGAAGGAAUUCAGUUCCUCCUUCCGUUUCUUCUGUGGGUGCGCGCGAGGGAGCUGGAGAGCGGUCAGCGGCCCACGAGGUAAUGAGGAUAGAGACAGCAGUUAGAAUUUGUUUCUGAUGGUAUUGCAAGUUUCCUGUCUGGAGUCUGCUAUGCUACUCCUUUGUAACCAGCAAGCUGUCACGUGAACUGUUAAAUAACUAAGGCUAUGAGCGUCGGCCUCAGAGGAUUUUGUUGCUCUGUCCAGAAAUCCCUAUAUCGUGAGAUGGGCUUUCAAAUGCUGCUUACCUGAAUGAAGCCUGACAGCUCUCACCUGAACUGCUGAGAAAUCAGAAUCCAGUAAGAGUCAAAUCUUCAUCUGAUGAAAAUCUGCACAGAAUUGGUCCAUGAUGCUUUUCCAUGAUGUCCCUGACACUUGUCCCUGACAGCAGUGGGAAAUACCUUCGUUAUGUGAUUUGCUGAGCUCAGAUACAUUCAGAAAUGCCAUGUUCUUGACUUUGUCCUGCUCUUUGCAGCCAGCAAGACGUUGUUUGAAUUCUCUUGAGAACAAGAAUUUACUCAACCGUGGUGUUAAAUAUGUUGUCUAAUGUGCAGUUAACUUGCAGCUACCAAGAAGUCAUACAGUUUUCAAGGUCCACAGAUUCUUCACUGGAUCUUCAGGUCCCCUGCAAACUUAAGGAGGCGGAACCAGACCAGUCAGUCAUCAUGGACCUGGAGUUAAGCUCUGCACCAGAAGUGCCUAUUUCCUAUUCUCCUCUGCAUCCAGAUCCACAGAUCCCACAGUGUGAUUUUCACAGGAUGCAGCACAAUCAGGAAAAGUGACUUAGUCUAAACACUCAUAAAUAUUUACAAAUUUUUUAAUUUAAAAAAAUAUAUUUUUACUAAGACCUUACACAUGUAGCACCUUCCAGCUAAAUGUGGUUUAGACUGAAGAUUGCUAGUCCAGUUUGUACAUGUCUGUCUAGUUUGCUUCCUUCCAGAUCUCAUCUCCACAGAAAUUCAUUGUGUUCAAACCUCACACACUUCUGUAAUAAUCUUUGUACAAGGAAUGCCUCGUGUGGUCUCAUUAGAAAACUCGUAAUUUGAUGAUCAGUGAUAUGGUAAAAUGUGUGUAGCAGCUUUAUGCAUUAAGUUAUAAAUUUCCUCUGUUUGAUGUUAAAAAUACAUGUGCAGACUCACAUAUCACCAAACUGGUCAAACAGACGUGAUUUUAACAAAGCGUAUGCUUGUCUUAAUUGGCAUUAACACAGUAAACAGAGUUAUCAACCAGAAAAGGAGAAAGGAGAAAACAAAGAGAGCUCACACAGUGAAAAAGCCCAGCAGGGAACAGCUUUCCUCCAGUAGACUGCCUGUCUCCUGGUUCUCAGCUGGAAAUGCUUUUCAAAGAGGGACUAAAACACUAUAAAAAGGCAGGGCAAACACUCCAAGACACCCCUCUCUUCCCCUGCCCAAUGUAUUCUCUGCACCUUAAAAGGCAACGGCAACAACUGUUGGAUGUUAGGGGCAGUGUUCUGAUCUGAAGAGUUUGGUCAGUAAUGCUGCUGAAAGUAUGUGUUGAGAAACUAUGCUUGAAUCUAAUAUAGUUUGUUAAAUUAGGCAUUAGAAAGUGUUUUAUCUUUAUUUUUCUUGUAAUAAUUUCUGAUUUUUAUGCCUCAUUACUAGUACUCACUUAAAAUAUAUCUC